AUAGUUCCCCUUUUCUGUGAAACAGGAAACACAUACUGACGCUUUCUGGGCUCAACUAUGUCAUUUUCAGGGACGUCAUGAAUUUGGCCUGUGGAGUUGUGCGUGUCAACCCCAAGAGAAGCAUGAGUCAUUAUUGGAAGACAGCUAGAAAGAGGGUCCACGGAUGACUCCAGGAGUCUGGGUUGGCUGAAACCCCGGGAAGAAAGACUUCUCCAGUGUACACUGAUGGUGGGCUCUUCGCCUUUAUGGCUUUCUCUGCUAUUAGCAAGGGCUGAGUCAGCAUCCUCUGGACUGUGAGCCAAUGCUGCUAUUUCAGAGGGGGCCAAUUCAGGCACAACAGCAUCUGCCUUUAGACUAUCAGGUACAGCCCAGACCUUGUCAGGAAUUAUGAGACCACCAUCUGAUGCCUUGCUCUCAGAAUUUGUCAGUUGUCGUGGUGGCCAGAUUUCAGAAGCGGAAGCCUCUAGAGUUAUAAUCUUCAGCUUGUUGCCUGCCUCCCAAUUUCCAGGUCUAUAUUCUUUAGACUCUUCCAAAAGGAUAUCAGAGAGAGAUGGAACGUUGCUCAGAGCCUGACUGUCUUCUUCCCCAGCAGUUUCAGCCACCACGGAGACCCUCGUCCCCCAACCUGAGCGCUGCCCUGCUCCUUCCCUAGAGCUUGCUGGUGAGUGGGCCGUGGGCACCAAGUUUCUUUCCUCUUGUGCAGCAGAUGUCGUAGGCAAACUUUGUUGGAAAUCAGGUGCAGAAAGAGAACCCUGCUGGGACAGGCUCUGCUGCUGGAGCCCCUGCUUUGUUUCACUUCCUCUUUCUUGGAAAUUCUCUUCAUAGCUCCUAAAGUCUGCUCUGUCCACAGUCUGGCUCUUAUCUCCAGACAGGUUAUCAACCUGAAGAGGGGAAUUACUGCAGAAACCCUCUCCCUCUGGGAGCUGCAGGACAUGGUGUGGGACUCCUGGCACACUGGGCGCCCUGCAAAGUAGCUCUUUUGUAGAUUUGAUGGUAGCACCACUUAAAAUAUGAUCCAACUGCACUUGGGAAGGAAAUUGGGAAACCUUUUCAUGGGAUGCACGAGGGAACCUCUCCUCAGUGCCACCUGCAUGCUUGUCCUCAGGAAUUGACACAGCAAGGUAUUUGGCUGGGUGGACUUCGGUGGCAAUGGUAACAGUUGAUGUGUCCUCAGUCUCCCUGGUCGCUUGAAAGCACUCAUUAUUAGCAGUUAAUGUUGUUGGCUUCUCCCAAGGAAAACUCACAAUUGAACUAUAACUGGCUGGUGUGGCUGUGGUGUCUGCGGCACUAGGACUGGGGCUCUUGUCACCUCCUUCUUUAAAUUGCACUAAAGGAUUGUUCUCAGAAGAAAGGAGCUGUGUUUCAUCAAGCCCUCCUGAGUUGCUGGGGCUUGGCUGCUCCUGGCCAGCAUGUACUGUGGAGGCCAGUGGGUAGGUGGAAUUCUCCACCUUGGCUAGAUUUUCUCCUGUGGCACCUUCACUAGCUGUGUGUGAAAUGUUCAAGGUGAAAGUACUGGUAAAAAGAGGGGACAUGACUGAGUUGCCGUCCUUGCUGCUUUUGCACAUAGACACUGAAGUCUCAGACACUUGUGUCUGAAAAAAGACUUCCAGUGUCUUGUCAUUAGAAGAACAUAAAUCAGAUACUUUGUUUUGACCUUCUGCCAGUUCUACAGUAUCUACAGAGCAAAUUUCUUGAGGCAAAUAUUUAUCAACUGGUGUCCCAACAAGAGAAUCUAUGGUAUCAAAACAUGUUCCUUGGUCACCAGCCUCAAAACACUCCAUUGCACACACUGCUACUCUGUCCCUUGGCUCAUCACACACAUUUUCCAGGGUGAGGGCAGUAUCUGUGGGUUCAGGGGAAGCAACAGAGACAGCCACAGGCUCCCUGAAGUCAGCACGAGCAUCCUUGGGGAGAUGCCUUGAGAACACACCUGGGGACAUAUUCUCAUCAUUGGCUUCUGAGAUGCUCUGCUCAUAUUUUAGGCCUUCCCUGAAAUUGUCAGGUAUGUUGCCAUCUCUGUCUUGUUUUUCUUCCUGCUGUGGACCACAGGUACAGGGUUUGACCUCCGAGUGUUGAGCGAAUGAUGCAUUUUCCUUGUGGACCCCUCCUAAGUUUGAGAAGGAAAUUGUUGUGGUCCCAGUGAAUGGGGACUCCUCCCCAGCAGGCUCUGAGAAAGCUGGCAUCUGGCUGCAAGAGAUUGUCUCUCUGACUGUUUCCUGAAUUUGUACCUAGGAAGAUGAAAAGUGAUAUUAAUAGAAUUGUUCAUGGGAGAGCCCACAAUAGGGCAUAACUGCAAUCCCAAGAGUGUUAAUCCUCAAUGACUGUAAUAAUGGACAAGAAUGAUUGAAAUCUAAACAUUAAUCCCCCAACUCCCUCUAGCUAUUAGAGAUUUCCUAGAAAACUGCAAAUUUAAGCAACUCUGUGUUCCAGGGGGCCCUUUGUCAAAUUCAUCAUUAUAAGCAAAAAGCCUCCUGACAACCAUCAUUUAUUUAAUGAUUUCUUUCUCUCUUAGGAAAUAGAUGGAAAUAAAUUGAAUGUUAACUGUUUUGAUCAAGU
rnacentral:antisense_RNA from 1 species